AAAGCACUGAAGCUUUAAAAAAAAAAAAAAAACCCUAUGUUUUCCAAUGUGAACCACAUCCUGCUCUCACUAACUCCACCCUUGGUGACUUAGCUGACAGUCUGAAGGAAGCUGGUGACUAUUUAAGUCAAAGGUCCCUCAGGCUUGCAACCAAGUCAUUGCCAAGGACUCUAUCAAGGACACUGAAAUGGAAAAACCAGAAGAGCCAGCAGUGACUCUUGGGCAGACCCUGGAAUGGCUGAGGAAAGAGCUGGCUGAGAUGCAGAUCCAAGACCAGCAGCUGCUGCUCUCACUGAGGCACCUGCAGAGCCUCCUGGAGGAACUUCGGGCCGAAAGCACCCACUGGGAGGAUACCAGGCCCAGCAGAAACACAUCACCUUUCCGAGCUAGACUGGGCUCAGAAGGCAGGAGCUGUCAGCCUGUGUCGAGGGAAUUGGCCCAGCUUCUCCAAAGGGAAGAGAGCAGGCGGAGCUCCCUUCCUUAACCGGCCAAAGAGGAUACUCAUCAAAACCCUCCCACCACAAGUAUAAAUUUUGUGUCUGCUGUGUGUCCUUGGAUCUGUUACUUCUUAACUGCCUCUGUCACUUACCUCUGUGUGUGUGUGUGUGUGUGAUAAAUUAUUGGAUGCAUACAUGCUUCAAACGUACAACUCUGUUACAUAGUUUCUAGAAAGUUAUCACCAUGAGUGAUAACCUAUAUUUUAGGAAAUUUUCACAGUAUAAUUGUUAAAGAUUGUGAUGUACAAAGAUGUCUGCCUAAUAUUGCCUUGGUGAAAAAUCAGAAUACCUGUAGUGACUUCCUGGCUAUUUUCUGUGUUCCCAGCAGACCUUCCCGGCCCCCUUUAUCUGAUAACAACAGGCCCUGUUGCAACCACAGGUAACCAGGCCUAGUCAACUAUAACUCAUGUUGGCUCAAACAUCAUGAUUCAUGAUUAGCUUAAUUCAUGGGCAUGUGACUCAACAAAGCCACCCACAAUUCUUCCCUGGGAUGACUACCUGCCAACCAUACUUCAAGGGUGCAGUUUGAUUUCUUUUAGGCUAGAUUGAUCUUUGCCAGUAAGCAGUGUAGGGUUAGAUCCCAGGGCAAGAGAUGAAAGGAGGGACUGGCUCCUUUGUCCCCUGCAGUAUCUUGUAGGCUUUUUGCAACUCUUGGUGUCACCCAACAGUGAUCUUCACUAUAGAGCAAGUGGCACAAGCUCUGUAUAGGUCCAGGGCCCAGCUUAGAGGCACCCUCUAGGCUCAGAGCCUCUUCUUAGAUGUCUGCAGGCCAGGCCUACAGGGCUCCUGUCUGUGUGGUUUGAAUUUUAAUCCUUCAGCUUCCUUGUUCCCCCAGCACUGGGGGUGGUAAAUUCUCCCUGUAAUUGCUAGUUUGAAAUUAUUUUUAGAACUUCUCAUCUGCUCAGUUAACUUUAUACUUACUUAACAAUUCUUUGUAUUAAAUUCUGUAUGUUUAAAAAAAAAGGAAGAAAGAGAAGGCAUGACUUCUUUUCUACCUAUUCCACUGACACCAUUUUUGCUAUUCUUGCC
rnacentral:lncRNA from 1 species